UACGGGGGGAGCAAGCGUUGUUCGGAUUUACUGGGCGUAAAGGGCGCGUAGGCGGCCACCGCAAGUCGAUUGUGAAAUCUCCGGGCUUAACCCGGAAAGGUCAACCGAUACUGCGGGGCUAGAGUGCGGAGGGGGCAACUGGAAUUCUUGGUGUAGCGGUGAAAUGCGUAGAUAUCAAGAGGAACACCUGCGGCGAAGGCGGGUUGCUGGGCCGACACUGACGCUGAUGCGCGAAAGCUAGGGGAGCGAACGGG
rnacentral:rRNA from 1 species